GAUGAACGCUGGCGGCGUGCCUAAUACAUGCAAGUCGAGCGAACAGACGAGGAGCUUGCUCCUCUGACGUUAGCGGCGGACGGGUGAGUAACACGUGGAUAACCUACCUAUAAGACUGGGAUAACUUCGGGAAACCGGAGCUAAUACCGGAUAAUAUAUUGAACCGCAUGGUUCAAUAGUGAAAGACGGUUUUGCUGUCACUUAUAGAUGGAUCCGCGCCGCAUUAGCUAGUUGGUAAGUUAACGGCUUACCAAGGCAACGAUGCGUAGCCGACCUGAGCGGGUGAUCGGCCACACUGGAACUGAGACACGGUCCAGACUCCUACGGGAGGCAGCAGUAGGGAAUCUUCCGCAAUGGGCGAAAGCCUGACGGAGCAACGCCGCGUGAGUGAUGAAGGUCUUCGGAUCGUAAAACUCUGUUAUUAGGGAAGAACAAAUGUGUAAGUAACUAUGCACGUCUUGACGGUACCUAAUCAGAAAGCCACGGCUAACUACGUG
rnacentral:rRNA from 1 species